GAUGUCAAACCUUGACAUAACCAAGACUGACGAAGCCUCAUCACUUUGAUACUGCUCUUGGAACACUGACUUUGUCCAUCAGCAUCUCUUCUCUCUACUUCGAGAUAUCUGAUCACUUCUGUGACUAAGCUAUUUGAACAGUCAGCAGUUUGCUGAACCUUGGCCCCAUAUAAACUGAAGCAGUUUCAAAUCCAUUACAGGGAAGGUUAGAAUGGAGAAAGGUGAAGAAGAGCAGAAUGCAGUUCUGGAGGGGCAAACAGAAGAUCUCUUCCUUGCAUAAGUGACAGUCGCAGAAUUGGAG